GAUGAACGCUGGCGGCGUGCCUAAUACAUGCAAGUAGAACGCUGAAGGAAGGAGCUUGCUCUUCCCGGGUGAGUUGCGAACGGGUGAGUAACGCGUAGGUAACCUGCCUGGUAGAGGGGGAUAACUAUGGGAAACGAUAGCUAAUACCGCAUAACAGUAGAUGUUGCAUGAUUUCUACUUAAAAGGUGCAAUUGCACCACUACCAGAUGGACCUGCGUCGUAUUAGCUAGUUGGUGAGGUAACGGCUCACCAAGGCGACGAAAGAUAGCCGACCUGGGAGGGGUGAUCGCCCACCUGGGAAUGGAGACACGGCCAAACUGCUUCGGGGGGGCGCAAUAGGGGAUUCUCGGCAAAUGGCCGAAGUCUUGCCGGACAACGCCCGCUGAGUUGAGGAAGGUCUUGGGUCGGAAAGCUCUUUUGUUAGAGAAGGAACAGAUGGGGAGUGAACUGUUCACGCUGUGACGGUAUCUUACCAGAAAGCGACGGCUAACUACGUG
rnacentral:rRNA from 1 species